CUACGUGCCAGCAGCCGCGGUAAUACGUAGGGUGCGAGCGUUAAUCGGAAUUACUGGGCGUAAAGCGAGCGCAGACGGUUACUUAAGCAGGAUGUGAAAUCCCCGGGCUCAACCUGGGAACUGCGUUCUGAACUGGGUAGCUAGAGUAUGUCAGAGGGGGGUAGAAUUCCACGUGUAGCAGUGAAAUGCGUAGAGAUGUGGAGGAAUACCGAUGGCGAAGGCAGCCCCCUGGGAUAAUACUGACGUUCAUGCUCGAAAGCGUGGGUAGCAAACAGGAUUAGAUACCCUGGUAGUCCACGCCCUAAACGAUGUCGAUUAGCUGUUGGGCAGCUUGACUGCUUAGUAGCGUAGCUAACGCGUGAAAUCGACCGCCUGGGGAGUACGGUCGCAAGAUUAAAACUCAAAGGAAUUGACGGGGACCCGCACAAGCGGUGGAUGAUGUGGAUUAAUUCGAUGCAACGCGAAGAACCUUACCUACUCUUGACAUCCAGA
rnacentral:rRNA from 1 species